rnacentral:misc_RNA from 1 species
AACGCACAUUGCGCCCGCUGGUACUCCGGCGGGCACGCCUGUCCGAGCGUCAUUUCAACCCUCGGGCCCCCUCCCUCGCGGAGGCGGUGCCCGGUGUUGGGGCCCGGCCGCCCUCCCCGGCGGCCGUCCCCUAAAUCCAGUGGCGGUCGCGCCGCGAACCCUUGCGUAGUAGAAACACCUCGCACCGGAGAGCGACGCGGUCCACGCCGUGAAACCCCCAACUUUUCAAUGGUUGACCUCGGAUCAGGUGGGAAUACCCGCUGAACUUAA